GGGUGACAGGGAGGCAAAGGGAGGUGAAGUAAAUCCCCCCCAGCUGUUCCACUUCUGGAUGAAUCUCUACCAGCUUUGGACAUGGAGAGUCUGAAAUCUUUUUUUUUUUUUUUUCUAAAAAACUCAGAGAGAUGGAUAAGAUCAGCUUCACAAACACUCACCACAGUCAGGAGCUGCGCAGGCCGUACUCCUGAUGUUCAGUCCGUCACACGGGGCUCCGCCGUACAGGCUGGGCUGCAGAACCCGUCUGGUGGAGCUUUGCUGGCCGGUACCACAGCUGGCCGAGCACGGACUCCAUGGCGACCAGCUGGACCACUGGCAGGCCACUGGACGAGGGCAGAGCAAGGCGGGUCAGAGCAACUUCACGCAGUAAGCAGCUGUUGGUGUUACAGACGGUCUGCUGUUUGAGUGGUCCAACACACGCCGCCCCACCAGGCUCUGCUUCUUGAAGGAUCGUCUUGUUCCGCGUUGACACCCCUCCGCCACACGUG